UGACCUGAGCAGCAAAGUGUGCACCAGAGUGGGGGGAGGCAGGAGUCACUGCACUGUCCCUUUACAUGUUGUGUGAAUCUCUCCUUGCAUUAAGGGACACCAUGGCAAAGCAGAUAAACUUAACUGCAAGAAGUGGUGGUGAGAGUGCAGGCCAGUAUUAAGAUUAAAGUGAUUGUGUGUUUCAAGCUAAUUCUUUUUCUUUAGGGGUGGCCCAAAUAAUCCAAUGCAAUAAUAGAGCACAUCUGCAGAAUUAAUGGUGAGCUGGGGUGCUCAUGACCUUGAACAAGGGGCCAACAGGGAGUCGCACCACCGAGUCACCAUGUUAAUCAGCUAGCAUUCAGUUACUGGUAAUCAUGGAUCAUUCAAUAGCAGAACCUGGAAGUCUGUGAAAUUUUAGCUUUAAGGAAAUAAGGACAGCAAAAACCUGAAGAGCUCUAGAAAUAUUCCAGAUUGCUCUAGAUAACUGCUUUAGAACCUGAGGCUGUUCACUCAGAUCAUUCGCAGAACUUAAUUUCUCAACAAACCCAAUCACUUCUUUGCAAAGAUUUUUUAAAAGGUAACUAUUUUGAGACCACCUCAUCUUGCCCAAGUUCUAAUUGCUAUAAGAGUGGCAAAAAUGCCAACAGGCUUAGGUGUAUAAUGUAUCCACUUUGAAGAUUUAAACCAUAAGAAUUAGCUCUUUGCUAGGUAACAACUAACUGACAAUAGUUUGCUUGCAGAGUUCUACUUCAGAUCAAAUGUAUUUUAGGGAAUUUAGUCCAUUAACAAAUGCCCAUAGUAAAGAAAUUUAAAUCAAAGCUGGAUAAAUACAAUGCUGAAAGUAUAAGGAAAAUAAAAAUUAUCUCCUUUGAAUCACA